UAGGGAAUCUUCGGCAAUGGACGAAAGUCUGACCGAGCAACGCCGCGUGAGUGAAGAAGGUUUUCGGAUCGUAAAACUCUGUUGUUAGAGAAGAACAAGGGUGAGAGUAACUGUUCACCCCUUGACGGUAUCUAACCAGAAAGCCACGGCUAACUACGUGCUAG
rnacentral:rRNA from 1 species